GAUGAACGCUGGCGGCGUGCCUAAUACAUGCAAGUCGAGCGAACAGACGAGGAGCUUGCUCCUCUGACGUUAGCGGCGGACGGGUGAGUAACACGUGGAUAACCUACCUAUAAGACUGGGAUAACUUCGGGAAACCGGAGCUAAUACCGGAUAACAUGUUGAACCGCAUGGUUCAACAGUGAAAGACGGUCUUGCUGUCACUUAUAGAUGGAUCCGCGCCGCAUUAGCUAGUUGGUAAGGUAACGGCUUACCAAGGCAACGAUGCGUAGCCGACCUGAGAGGGUGGUCGGACACCCUGGAAGUGAGACACGGUCCAGACUCCUACGGGAGGCCGCAGUAGGGAAUCUUCCGCAAUGGGCGAAAGCCUGACGGAGCAAAGCGGGGUGAGUGAAGAAGGUCUUCGGAUCGUAAAACUAUGUUAUUAGGGAAGAACAAAUGUGUAAGUAACUAUGCACGUCUUGACGGUACCUAAUCAGAAAGCCACGGCUAACUACGUG
rnacentral:rRNA from 1 species